UACGUAGGGUGCGAGCGUUGUCCGGAAUUACUGGGCGUAAAGAGCUCGUAGGUGGUUUGUCGCGUUGUCCGUGAAAACUCACAACUCAAUUGUGGGCGUGCGGGCGAUACGGGCAGACUGGAGUACUGCAGGGGAGACUGGAAUUCCUGGUGUAGCGGUGGAAUGCGCAGGAUAUCAGGAGGAACACCGGUGGCGAAGGCGGGUCUCUGGGCAGUAACUGACGCUGAGGAGCGAAAGCGUGGGGAGCGAACAGG
rnacentral:rRNA from 1 species